rnacentral:snRNA from 1 species
GUACUGACCUGGCAGGGGGAUGUGCCAUGAUCACAAAGGUGGUUUGCUCAGGGCGAGGCUUACCCAUUGCAUUCCAGAUGUGCUGACCCCUGCAGUUUCCCCAAAUGCGGGAAAUUCCACUGCAUAAUUUGUGGUAGUGGGGGACUGCGUUAGUGUGCUUCCCUG